GUACGGUGUUAGACCAACUAAUUUAUCCUUCCUAGGAAACCAUAUGCAUUUGAGUGAUACACGAGUUUGGAAAUGAUCAAUCAACCAGUUUCUGAUCCACCACCCAAAUCGUAAGUACAAUUCUUGGCAGAAAGGAUUUCAAAUCACAUCGAUUAAUUAAUUAUUUUAAAUUCAUCAUGGCAAAACUCCGAAUUUAAAUGUCGAAAUCCAUAUGUGCAAAUUAUCAAAUCAAAAUAUAAGCUAUUCUCAUUAAGUAAUAAUAUGAAAUUUGUGUUCAUCCAAAUGAAACCUAAAAUUCAUAUAGGAUAGUUUAUUUUUGGUUUUUUACUUCGAGUUUAAGAAUUUUCUCGUGAUGAAUUUGAAAUCAUUUGUGCUAAGGCUUAUAGCUAUACAAGAAAUGCAUCUCUUCAACCUCUGAUAUGUUGUACUCAAAAAUUGAAUCACCAAUUAUUGAGUAAAACACACGUUACCCUAUAUUAUCCUAAUCAACCACACACAAGAUAAUAAAGAUUUACAUGGUUCAGCCAAUGAUGCAUAUGUCCACGGAGAACAAUCAAUAAUCCACUAAUCGAACGAAGGGGAUUACAAUGAGUGUAAAGGAAGAAGAAUCACACUCCAGUCACCUUACUUUCAAUUCUCUUUCUCACAAUCUUUUUCUAUCUUGCCUCUCACUCUUAGCACCUUUUUUUUCCACAACACAACGCACAACGCAUAAGUCUCUACACCCUACCCUCCCUUUUAUAGACCAAGGGAUGGAGGUAGCAGACUUCCAAUAUGAUAUCUAAUUGUUAUCCUAUUCUACCUAGGGAAACAUAUCAUAACUCAAGACUAACUCUUAAAGAGAUAAUCAUUUGAAAAGUUCUAGUUAACUCGAGAGUUUCACGUCCACAUGGACGCUCAAUGUGAGCAAAUUAGGCUUGGGGCCAAAUAUGCACCCUCUCGACUGUGACCUCGGUUGUCCUCUCCCAAUACCCAUUUGAUGACCUCAACCUUUUCAUACUUCCUUCUGAGAAUAGGGCUCCCGACUCAUUACUAUUCGUCAUACCCAUCUUUCUCCUCCGUGCCUCUUUAUUGAGUAGGACAUCCCUAACCAUACUCAUGAUCAACUUCUCCUUCACCACUGAAUUGCUGAGAGAAACUACUAAUGUCUGCCAACUUUUUGGCAAGGAACUCAAAAGUAAUAGGGCCCGCGCCUCAUUCUCAAACUAUAGGUAACACUAGCCAAUUAAUUGACUAAAUUCUGGAACUCGCUCGUAUGUUUUGCCACUAUAAUCCCUCUCUUAAGCUUCAAAUUCACAAACCUUCUCAUUAAUAAGCCUUUGGUCCUUCGCCUGGUACAUCUCCUCCAACUUGGUCCAUAACUCAUAAGCACUCGUCUCAUGUGCUACAUAAUGAAAUACCUCGCGUCCAAUCCACUAUUUGAUUUGCUCAAUCCCUUUUUGGUUCAUCUUUUUCCAUUCCUCAUCCUUCGUCGCUGUAGGUUUGUCUCCCUUAUUCUCCAAGGGGUCGUACAAAUCCUUGCAAAAUAGGAUAUCCUCCAUUCUUGGUUUCCACAAUGCGUAAUUCGUUGUUGAACGCAUGAUCAUAGCCCUCGAAUUAUGCUCCAUCAUCUUAAUUCUACCAAAUAGAAGCAAAAUAUCCAAAACUAACAUCAGAGAUGGAUCUGGAAUGCUGAAAAAUCUCAAAAAGGGCUAAACUAUUAAAACUAAAAAAUUUUGGGACCAAACUGUUAAAAUCAGAAACUCCAAAGACUAAACUAAAACUUUUAGAAACUUUAGAGACCAAAAUAUAAUUAUUAAAAACUCCAGGGACUAAAUUAUAAUUUUUAAAAAGUACAGGGACCUAAUGUAAUUUUUAAAAAUUACAAGGACCUAAAGUGUAAUUACCUAAACAAAUAUUUCGGAAGUCAAACAUGCGGUCAACAAGAUCAACGGCUUGGUUAAUGUUGGGCUAAAACUUCGGGCGGUGCGUUGGGGUGCAUCCGGUGUCUGUUUGGCUCUAAUUUUGAUCGACAGACUCAUUUAGAAAGAGAUGAAUCUAGCGGAUUGCUCAAAAUUCAAUUACGAACAACUUUGAAUAUGGACAAUAUGCAAAAUUCAAUUGGGCUUGGGCCCAAAUAUGUGGGUUGGACUCAACAUAAUCUACUUGAAAUUAUUUUAGUAGAUCGUUAGUACAUUCCUUGGCAUAAAAGAUUUUUAAUCACUCCCAUAAUUUAUUCAUGAUAAAACUCUGAAUCUAAAUGCCGAAAUCCAUAUGCAAACUAUCAAAUUGAAAUAUAAGUUAUUCUCAGUGAGUAAUAAAGUGAAAUUCGUUGGCUUGAAUCAUUCCUAUGAAUUAAUGAUUGCAAAUUCAUCAUGAUAAAAACUCUGAAUCUAAAUGUCGAAAUUCAUAUACAAGCUAUCAAAUCGAAAUGUAAGCUCUUUUCAUAGACUACUAUCCAUUGGCUUGAAAUCCGCAUCCAUCUAAAUGAAACCUAAAAUUCAUAUUUGAUAGUUUAUUU
rnacentral:lncRNA from 1 species